AGCUCAUAUAAGGUAAAAGGCAGAGUGGCCUCUGUGGCCAGGGAGCCGCAGGCAAGGGACUAAGGGGAGGGGGGCUCAGUGCCAGCUGCUUAAAAAUGCCCCUGUGGCAGCGAGGGGCACCCGAGGCUGGGUCUAAUUAGUUGAGAAGCAGUGACAACCCCAACCACUCACCAAACAGGCUGGUUCCCAUCUCCAGGCCCCAAGGAGCCACACCUGGACCAGACCCCAGGAAAGGCAAGGGCACUGACUGGUGGGAGCCACCCCUGCCACGCUGGUGUUGGAGAAGCAAGAACUCUGGAGAAGCAGCCUCCUGGGACCAGAGGAGGGCCAGCAGCGGGCAGCUCAGAGACAGAACUCUCACCCACGCCUCCCCAAGCCUCCCGACAGAAGACAGAGGUCCCCCACAGCCCAGAGACAUUUCCUGAAGACAUGGGGAGCACAGAGGCGGAAACAGCCCAUCCACCCAGGAGCGGCCCCCAACGCUGCCGGCAGCCAGCACCCAGAGCCAUCAGGUAAAACUGAGGCCACCUGGCUCAACAUUGCUUUUCACAGAAGGGGAAACAGCCACAGAGAGAAGGGCCUGGUAAGAAGUGCAACCUGGGACCCCCAAGCGGUGGCUCUCAUCCUGACUGGGGAUCCAGAGUAGGAGGGAGCCUUUGGUGGGGUUGGAGCCCGCCACAGGUCGCCAGAGUGGAGCAGCGCAGCGCCCUGUCUCCCAGCCUGAGGUGCAGUGCUGCAUCUCUGGUCAGUUGGGAGUCUGAGAUGAAGCACUGUAGCUCAGGAAGAGAGAAGUUGUUCUGCAGCCAUCAGCCUGGAAGUGCCUGGCUGGUGGCCCUUCUCACAGUAGCUUCCCCUGAAGAAGAGGAAAAGCAAACCUUCACUGAGACCCAAGUGGUCUCUCCUGUGCUCUGUGACAAUAAUAAAGUCCUGGCCCUUGGC